UACGAAGGGGGCUAGCGUUGCUCGGAAUCACUGGGCGUAAAGCGCACGUAGGCGGAUCUUUAAGUCAGGGGUGAAAUCCCGGAGCUCAACUCCGGAACUGCCUUUGAUACUGAGAAGCUUGAGUCCGGGAGAGGUGAGUGGAACUGCGAGUGUAGAGGUGAAAUUCGUAGAUAUUCGCAAGAACACCAGUGGCGAAGGCGGCUCACUGGCCCGGUACUGACGCUGAGGUGCGAAAGCGUGGGGAGCAAACAGG
rnacentral:rRNA from 1 species